rnacentral:rRNA from 1 species
UACGUAGGGUGCAAGCGUUAAUCGGAAUUACUGGGCGGAAAGCGUGCGCAGGCGGUUUGGUAAGACAGAUGUGAAAUCCCUGGGCUCAACCUAGGAAUUGCAUUUGUGACUGCCCGGCUAGAGUGUGUCAGAGGGGGGUAGAAUUCCACGUGUAGCAGUGAAAUGCGUAGAUAUGUGGAGGAAUACCGAUGGCGAAGGCAGCCCCCUGGGAUAACACUGACGCUCAUGCACGAAAGCGUGGGGAGCAAACAGG